rnacentral:misc_RNA from 1 species
CGCACAUUGCGCCUGCUAGCAUUCUGGCAGGCAUGCCUGUUCGAGCGUCAUUUCAACCCUCAAGCUUUGCUUGGUGUUGAGGUUCUAUAAUUAUAGGCCUCUAAAUCUAUUGGCAGAACGUCAUAAACUCUCAAUUGUAGUAAAUUUUAUUUCUAUUGAAGAAUUUUGAUAUUUCUAGCCGUAAAACACAGCGUGCUCUUUUGAGCCCUAUUUUUACAAGGUUGACCUCGGAUCAGGUAGGAAUACCCGCUGAACUUAA